GCCGUAUUCAUAAAAAAUCCUUAAAUGAGGAAUGAUCAGCUUAUUAGCUAAUCCGCUGUUUAGGCUUAAUAAGCCGUUGAUAAGAACCAUGAUUUAUAAACGUUUAUUAGGGGCUUCUUAACUAAUAAGCAGAUUAGACGCGUUAUGUUGGCAUCUUGGCGCAUCAUAGACUAAAAUAUGGCUGAACAUUAAAUUAAAAAAAAAGUUUGACAGCAGCACUAGCGGCCAAUCGUAAUAUCAUGAAGAAGUUGAUUUACUAUUUUGACUAAUUUUCGGAAUUAUCUCUUAUUAAAAUAGCUUCUGUGCCACAAAAAUAAUUUAAGAUUGCUGCAUGGCCGGAAAUUUUAUAAAACUUGGUGAGUAACUACGUUUACAGACAAGUAUCUUAUACAGCAACAAGUAAUAAUAUGAGUUCACUGCAAUGUUGAUAUACCUAUAUCUUAUUGCUUUUAGUUUCAAUAUUAUGUGGAAUGGAGUCGAAAGAAGUGGGGUUCUUUCAAACUAACCGAGAAGUGCAUAAUUAGCGAAGAGAAGAAGUCGAAGCCAGAUACCGUACCAGACCCCACUCGCCUCCGCAAGAAGAACCAUUGAAUAAUGGUUCAUGAGUUCACACUAAUUUAUUCUGGUUGCGGCAGAAAUUCACAACGGGUCAACAAAACGAAGUCCAUUCAGACUCACUAAAUCAGAUCCUGAAAGUACCAUCAUUAGCCACUGUUAUUGUUGAAUAACUCCAGGCUUUGGAAGAAAAGCUGUGGCCUGUGAACAGCUGUGAAUAUUGGUCAGAGAAGUGUAACUGACUCCGUACACUGCAAGUCCCAGCAGGAAAUCAGCAAGAAACCUAAAAGAAAAAAAACAUCAAAAUGAAAACCUAGCUUGAUUUAGGUUGAAGUAAUAAAAUUGUUCUAAUUUAAUUGGUGUUUUAUUUUACUAAUUAAAUAUAUUUUUUGACUUGUUAA